rnacentral:lncRNA from 1 species
GCUUACUCAGGGAGAGAAAAGUAGGGGGAGGAAUUCUCGUUCCCAGGAACUGAUGGAGGACCCCCAGCUGAAGGGAAGAGGGUGUUUCAGGGCCAUUUCUUCCCCAGCAGCUGCCGUCUGUCCAUCUAUCCAUCCCUGCGUCCCGUUCCCUCAGAGCCUGGAGGUCUGCCUGGUGGAGGAGGAAGGGCUAUCUCCAGAUUGAGAAAGCCUCAGGGUGUGGAUGUGAUGGGAGAAUGUGGUUGUGUGUGCUUCCACCUGCGUGUAUUUGUGUGGGAGAUGUGUGUGUCGGGUGUGUGGAGUGUCUGUGUGUCAAGCAGCAUUUUUUUUUUCUUUUUUAGAAACAGUCUUGUUCUUGUCACCCAGACUGGAGUGCAGUGGGGCGAUCUCAGCUCACUGCAACCGCCACCUCCCAGGUUCAAGCGAUUCUCCUGCCUCAGCCUCCUGAGUAGCUGGGACUACAGCCAUGCACCAUCACGCCUGGCUAAAUUUGUGUAUUUUGGUAGAGAUGGGGUUUCACCAUGUUGGCCAGGCUGGUCUCGAACGCCUAACCUCAAGUGAUCCUCCUAUCUUGGCCUCCCAAUAUGCUGGAAUUACAGGCGUGAGCCACUGUGCCCGGCCCGCCCUCAUUCUUUAACGUGCAUUUAUUGAGCACCUAAUAUAUGCCAGGCACACAAAACUGAGCAAGGCAGAUGAGGUGCUUACUUACCCCAAGAAGCCCACAUUUUAGUGAAGGAAACAGAUGCCAGACACAUUCUUCUUUUUUUUUUUUUUCUUGAGAUGGAGUCUUGCUCUGUCACCCAGGCUGGAGUGCAGUGGCGCAAUCUCGGCAAGACUCCGUCUUGGAAAAAAAAAAAAAAAAGAAAGUGCCAAGAUCCACUUGCUGUUCUGACAGGACCCCCGAGUCUACUGUGCAGAGGAACAGUGGCGGGGAUUGGGCCAAAGACAGGAGGUGACUGUCCAGAAGGAAGUGGCCCUAACAGAGAGCAUGGACACUGUACAGGGGAAGCAAGUGUGCCCAGAGCCUGAGGUCCCAGCCCCCUCUUCUCUGAGACCCCUGGCAGAAGGAUGCUUCCUGGGGAGGGGGCUUCAUCUACACGGCUUGUGGGGGGCGCAGUGGGGCAGCACAGGGGCCCAGGUUCCAGUCCUAGCCUGGCCCGCAAUUGCUGCAUGGUUUGGGGGGAGCUGAUCCGAGCCUCAUUUCCCCAUCUGUAGAAUGGGACAAUAACUCUCCUGCCCACGUUCCCCGCAGCACCAUUCACAACAGCCAAGAUUAAGAAGCAAUCUAAGGCUGGGCGUCGUGGCUCACACCUGUAAUCCCAGCACUUUGGGAGGCUGAGGUGGGUGGGUCACCUGAGGUCAGGAGUUCGAGACCAGCCUGGCCAACAUGGUGAACCCUCAUCUCUACUAAAAAUACAAAAAUUAGCCGGGCGUGGUGGCAGAUGCCUGUAAUCCCAGCUACUUGGGAGGCUGAGGCAGGAGAAUCGCUUCAACUUGGGAGGCGGAGGUUGCAGUGAGCCGAGAUCCUGCCACUGCACUCCAGCCUGGACAACAAGAGUGAAACUCUGUCUCAAAAACAAACAAACAAACAAACAAAAAGUAAUAAAUUUAAAUGUCAUUCAUCAGUGGAUGAAUGGGUAGAGAAAAUGCAGUACCUAAACAUGAUGGAAUAUUAUUCAGCCAUAGAAGAAUGAGAUCCUUGGCCAGGUGCGGUGGCUCACACCUGCAAUCCCAGCACUUUGGGAGGACAAGGCAGGCAGAUCACCUGAGAUGAAGAAACGGAGGUGCGGAGCAGAGAAGCGACCUGGUCAAGGAACCCAGUGGCAGAGUCAGACCCCCACCUCCUCACCUGUCCCCAGAGCCUGUGCUCUUAGCCCAGCACAGCUGAAUGGGAUCCCUCCUCAUCCAACUCACCCAAAUACCUUUCAGAAGAUGUAAAGUGGCUUCUCAAAAGGAUCAAAGAGGCCAGGCACGGUGGCUCACACCUGUAAUCCCAGCACUCUGGGAAGCCGAGGCGGGUGGAUCACCUGGGGUUAGGGGUUUGAGGCCAACCUGACCAACAUGGUGAAACCUCGUGUCUACUAAAAAUACGAAAAUUAGCUGGGCGUGGCGGCAGGCACCUGUAAUCCCAACUGCCUGGAAGACUAAGGCAGAAUUCCUUGAACCUGGGAGGCAGAGGUUGCAGUGAGCUGAGAUUGUGCCAUUGCACUCUAGCCUGGGCGAUACAGUGAGACUCCGCCUCAAAAAAAAAAAAAAAAUCAGAUCAAAGAAUAAGAUAGAAUCAGGAGGCUGGGCACGGUGGCUGCUGCCUGUAAUUCUAGCACUUUGGGAAGCCAAGGCAGGAGGAUUGCUUGAGCCCAGGAGUUCCAGACCAGCCUGGGCAAUAAUGUGAGACCCUGUUUCUACAAAUAAUAAAAAUACAAAUAAUUAGCCAGGUGUGGUGGUGCAUGCCUGUGGUCCCAGCUACUUGGGAGGCUGAGCGGGAGGACUGCUUAAACCUGGAGGUAGAGGCUGCAGUGAGCGGUGAUCACGCCACUGCACUCCAGCCUGGGCAACAAAGCAAGACCCUAUCUCCAAAAAAAAAAAGAAAAAAAAAGGCCGGGC